AAGUUACUAAUAGCAUCUUCAGUACUCUGCUCAGGGCAUGGUACAAUCAUGGCACUGCCGCUGGUUGUUAUAUUCAUGAGCCAGACAAAAGUGAUCACUUCCUACACGUGACAGCACUAACCAUUGAAACAUUCAAAGAUUGUAGUUCUCGUGAGUCCUUGCAAUGCUAGCCUGCACUGCCCAUCCACACCUUUUUGCCCCUACUCCAAGCCUUCC
rnacentral:lncRNA from 1 species